UUAAGCGAUUAAGCGUACACGGUGGAUGCCCUGGCAGUCAGAGGCGAUGAAGGACGUGCUAAUCUGCGAUAAGCGUCGGUGAGGUGAUAUGAACCGUUAUAACCGGCGAUUUCCGAAUGGGGAAACCCAGUGUGUUUCGACACACUAUCAUUAACUGAAUCCAUAGGUUAAUGAGGCGAACCGGGGGAACUGAAACAUCUAAGUACCCCGAGGAAAAGAAAUCAACCGAGAUUCCCCCAGUAGCGGCGAGCGAACGGGGAGGAGCCCAGAGCCUGAAUCAGUGUGUGUGUUAGUGGAAGCGUCUGGAAAGGCGUGCGAUACAGGGUGACAGCCCCGUACACAAAAAUGCACAUAUUGUGAGCUCGAUGAGUAGGGCGGGACACGUGGUAUCCUGUCUGAAUAUGGGGGGACCAUCCUCCAAGGCUAAAUACUCCUGACUGACCGAUAGUGAACCAGUACCGUGAGGGAAAGGCGAAAAGAACCCCGGCGAGGGGAGUGAAAAAGAACCUGAAACCGUGUACGUACAAGCAGUGGGAGCCUCUUAAUGGGGUGACUGCGUACCUUUUGUAUAAUGGGUCAGCGACUUAUAUUCUGUAGCAAGGUUAACCGAAUAGGGGAGCCGAAGGGAAACCGAGUCUUAACUGGGCGUUAAGUUGCAGGGUAUAGACCCGAAACCCGGUGAUCUAGCCAUGGGCAGGUUGAAGGUUGGGUAACACUAACUGGAGGACCGAACCGACUAAUGUUGAAAAAUUAGCGGAUGACUUGUGGCUGGGGGUGAAAGGCCAAUCAAACCGGGAGAUAGCUGGUUCUCCCCGAAAGCUAUUUAGGUAGCGCCUCGUGAAUUCAUCUCCGGGGGUAGAGCACUGUUUCGGCAAGGGGGUCAUCCCGACUUACCAACCCGAUGCAAACUGCGAAUACCGGAGAAUGUUAUCACGGGAGACACACGGCGGGUGCUAACGUCCGUCGUGAAGAGGGAAACAACCCAGACCGCCAGCUAAGGUCCCAAAGUCAUGGUUAAGUGGGAAACGAUGUGGGAAGGCCCAGACAGCCAGGAUGUUGGCUUAGAAGCAGCCAUCAUUUAAAGAAAGCGUAAUAGCUCACUGGUCGAGUCGGCCUGCGCGGAAGAUGUAACGGGGCUAAACCAUGCACCGAAGCUGCGGCAGCGACACUAUGUGUUGUUGGGUAGGGGAGCGUUCUGUAAGCCUGUGAAGGUGGCCUGUGAGGGUUGCUGGAGGUAUCAGAAGUGCGAAUGCUGACAUAAGUAACGAUAAAGCGGGUGAAAAGCCCGCUCGCCGGAAGACCAAGGGUUCCUGUCCAACGUUAAUCGGGGCAGGGUGAGUCGACCCCUAAGGCGAGGCCGAAAGGCGUAGUCGAUGGGAAACAGGUUAAUAUUCCUGUACUUGGUGUUACUGCGAAGGGGGGACGGAGAAGGCUAUGUUGGCCGGGCGACGGUUGUCCCGGUUUAAGCGUGUAGGCUGGUUUUCCAGGCAAAUCCGGAAAACCAAGGCUGAGGCGUGAUGACGAGGCACUACGGUGCUGAAGCGACAAAUGCCCUGCUUCCAGGAAAAGCCUCUAAGCAUCAGGUAACAUCAAAUCGUACCCCAAACCGACACAGGUGGUCAGGUAGAGAAUACCAAGGCGCUUGAGAGAACUCGGGUGAAGGAACUAGGCAAAAUGGUGCCGUAACUUCGGGAGAAGGCACGCUGAUAUGUAGGUGAAGCGACUUGCUCGUGGAGCUGAAAUCAGUCGAAGAUACCAGCUGGCUGCAACUGUUUAUUAAAAACACAGCACUGUGCAAACACGAAAGUGGACGUAUACGGUGUGACGCCUGCCCGGUGCCGGAAGGUUAAUUGAUGGGGUUAGCGGUAACGCGAAGCUCUUGAUCGAAGCCCCGGUAAACGGCGGCCGUAACUAUAACGGUCCUAAGGUAGCGAAAUUCCUUGUCGGGUAAGUUCCGACCUGCACGAAUGGCGUAAUGAUGGCCAGGCUGUCUCCACCCGAGACUCAGUGAAAUUGAACUCGCUGUGAAGAUGCAGUGUACCCGCGGCAAGACGGAAAGACCCCGUGAACCUUUACUAUAGCUUGACACUGAACAUUGAGCCUUGAUGUGUAGGAUAGGUGGGAGGCUUUGAAGUGUGGACGCCAGUCUGCAUGGAGCCGACCUUGAAAUACCACCCUUUAAUGUUUGAUGUUCUAACGUUGGCCCGUAAUCCGGGUUGCGGACAGUGUCUGGUGGGUAGUUUGACUGGGGCGGUCUCCUCCUAAAGAGUAACGGAGGAGCACGAAGGUUGGCUAAUCCUGGUCGGACAUCAGGAGGUUAGUGCAAUGGCAUAAGCCAGCUUGACUGCGAGCGUGACGGCGCGAGCAGGUGCGAAAGCAGGUCAUAGUGAUCCGGUGGUUCUGAAUGGAAGGGCCAUCGCUCAACGGAUAAAAGGUACUCCGGGGAUAACAGGCUGAUACCGCCCAAGAGUUCAUAUCGACGGCGGUGUUUGGCACCUCGAUGUCGGCUCAUCACAUCCUGGGGCUGAAGUAGGUCCCAAGGGUAUGGCUGUUCGCCAUUUAAAGUGGUACGCGAGCUGGGUUUAGAACGUCGUGAGACAGUUCGGUCCCUAUCUGCCGUGGGCGCUGGAGAACUGAGGGGGGCUGCUCCUAGUACGAGAGGACCGGAGUGGACGCAUCACUGGUGUUCGGGUUGUCAUGCCAAUGGCACUGCCCGGUAGCUAAAUGCGGAAGAGAUAAGUGCUGAAAGCAUCUAAGCACGAAACUUGCCCCGAGAUGAGUUCUCCCUGACUCCUUGAGAGUCCUGAAGGAACGUUGAAGACGACGACGUUGAUAGGCCGGGUGUGUAAGCGCAGCGAUGCGUUGAGCUAACCGGUACUAAUGAACCGUGAGGCUUAACCUU
rnacentral:rRNA from 1 species